UCCCUGAGGGGAGCCAUGCCAAAGGUGUGCUCCCUCAUCCAUCUCACCCUCUUCUGGGCAGGAGUCACGGCAGCUGUCACACUGGUGCAAGACCUAGUAGUGGCUCUGCGUGUCCCGCGGCAGAGGGAUCGGGCCACCCUCCAAUGCUCCAUGGAGGGAGAAACAAUCACUGACUACCCUAUCAACUGGCACAGGAAGACCCAGGGUAACACAAUGACUUUCAGAUACCGAGAAAGACCCCAUGUGGCCCUGGUUUUCAGGACAGAUUCCAAAGUCAAAUUGAUGGUUCAAACAGCCAGCCUCUACUAAAGAUCCUUGAGGCAUCAGAAGAGAGGAAGGAUCUUACUACUGUGCCAGUGACCCCACCCUCCUGCAGGGAGGGGUGAAGAACAAACUCGUCUUCGGAAAAGGAACUCGCCUGACUGUCAAAUCAAAAAGCCAGCCUCCUGCCAAACCAUCCGUUUUCAUCAUGCGAAAUGGGACGACGGUUGCUUGUCUGGUGAAGGAUUUCUAUCCUAAGGAUAUAGACAUAAAACUCGAAUCAACCAAGAAACUAGAAGAAUUUGACCCUGCUAUUGUCGUCUCCCCCAGUGGGAAAUACAGUGCUGUCAAGCUUGGUCGGUAUGAAGAUCCAAAUUCGGUGACCUGUUCGGUUGAACACAACAGUGAAGUCGUGAGCUCCACUAACUUUGAACCAAGGACAAAUUCUUCAGGUACCGUAAAACCAAAACCAAAGGAAACUGAAAACAUAAAGCUAACUCCAAAGAGCAUCAGUGAGCCCAAAGUUCAUCACAGUUCACAGUUCACAGCCGGGAAUGUAAACAUGCUGUCCCUCACAGUGCUGGGGCUCCGGAUGGUGUUUGCCAAGAGUCUUGCCAUCAAUUUUCUCUUGACUGCCAAGUUAUUUUUCUUUUAAGGCUGACUGGCUUCAGAAGGCUGCCUUAUGAAACUCCCACAUUAUGCCUUCACAAAAGCCUACAGAGGAGCUGUCUCCUAGACUUCUGGCUUCUCAGUGAUUCAAGGUGACCGAUCCCAGUCUUGCUUAAGUGGCUGCUACCCAAACCAUCAAAGCAACAAACCCAGCUCAUUUUCCAGCUUUGUGGAAAGACACAAGUCCUAGGGAGUAGGGCGUUAUGGUCCUAACUGCUCUAUCUGCUGCUUUAUAAAGGGAUAUAGGACUCAUUUUCUUUAUUAUUAUUUCUACAACAGAUACACUUUGAAAAUAGUGUUUUGUUCCCUUAACUUUCUUUGCCUUCAAAAGUAGAAAGUGGGAGCCAACAGAUUCCCAGCUCCAUACUCCCCGAGGAAAACAGACCCUGGGGGUUGGAGAGAAGAUGCCCUUCACCUAACAAGAAUGGCUCUGUUCAGCCCAGCACUAGGUUUGCCUCAAGCUGGCAUUCUCAUCCACAAAAGCACUUUCUGCUUUCCUUAGUACUUUACAAACAAAAUUACAUUUGACUUCUCAUGCAGCCAAUGGGGUUUCUAAAGCCUCAUCUAAAUACUCUCCAAGCUAUUAGCAAAGAUCAGGGUAAAAUACAGAGAAAAUUACUUUUAUCAAUUGACUUCACAAACAUGAAUUGACUCCUUCUAAGUUCCAGGCACCGAGCUGAGGGUGUAAAGAUGAACGAGAGGUGGGCCUGCUUUCAAGCGACUUACUGUGCAAGCACUUUUGGAGGGAGGGAGAGGAAUGAGACUCCUAGAUUUGGGCUGUAAAAAGAGUAUCUUUACUGGGUUUUGCCUGCCAAUAUAUGCACAGGGAAUUUGAUUUCAGUGGAUGCUGACUCUUGCCUGCCCCUUGUUGUUGAUGGUUUUCUGCCAUUCUCAGUGUUGUCUCUGUUGCAUUUAUUAAAGUGCAUCGAGUGUG